rnacentral:rRNA from 1 species
ACCUCGGGUGACAGGGAGACAGGUGGUGCAUGGUUGUCGUCAGCUCGUGUCGUGAGAUGUUGGGUUAAGUCCCGCAACGAGCGCAACCCCUACGUUUAGUUGCUAACGCGUGAAGGCGAGCACUCUAGACGAACUGCCGUUGACAAAACGGAGGAAGGUGGGGAUGACGUCAAAUCAUCAUGCCCUUACUGUUCUGGGCUACACACGUGCUACAAUGGCCGGUACAGACGGACGCAAAGCCGCGAGGUGGAGCAAAUACCUAAAAAGACCGGUCUCAGUUCGGAUUGCAGGCUGCAAUUCGCCUGCAUGAAGUCGGAAUCGCUAGUAAUCGCAGGUCAGCAUACUGCGGUGAAUACGUUCCCGGGCCUU